rnacentral:misc_RNA from 1 species
GAUGAAGAACGCAGCGAAAUGCGAUACGUAAUGUGAAUUGCAGAAUUCAGUGAAUCAUCGAGUCUUUGAACGCACAUUGCGCCCCCUGGUAUUCCGGGGGGCAUGCUUGUCCGAGCGUCAUUGCUGCCCUCAAGCACGGCUUGUGUGUUGGGCCUCCGUCCUCCUCCCGGGGGACGGGCCCGAAAGGCAGCGGCGGCACCGCGUCCGGUCCUCGAGCGUAUGGGGCUUCGUCACCCGCUCUUGUAGGCCCGGCCGGCGCUUGCCGACACAUCAAUCUUUUUUCCAGGUUGACCUCGGAUCAGGUAGGGAUACCCGCUGAACUUAAGCAUAUCAAUAAGCGGAGGA